CCAGUAGAGGAUCUGGGACAAUUUCCAGAGGCAAGUUUAGGGCCAACCCUCUCGAUCGCCCCUUGGAGGGAUGCAGUCUCUUUCAAAGGUCUGACUAGCUGGAGAUUAGGCAGGUCGUUUGCUUGUUUGCCCUCAGAUCCGGGUCCUCCCCUCCUGCACCCUGCUCCCUCCCAUAGGAGGCUGAUCCCUGCAGGCCACAUUUGCCAAGGUCCCAACAGCCACAGCCAGGAGGGUAGAAACCAGAGUCGUUCUACCCUGGCAGGUCACCUCUGCGGUCCCAGUUCCUGCCAGGAAACCUCCACCAGGAUUCCAGUCUCUCCGGUUCUGGAAACAUCAUCUCCUCUCUGUGACUUUCCACCCAAGAAUGGUAGCAUUUUCCAGUGGUUGCUACUCUCAAGACUGCCUUUCACCCUUGUCUGCCCUCCCAUCUCCUCCAGUGCCUUCAUAACCAUAACCGCGGAGAUUUCUGAAAUGGGUUACAUUUUCUGCCUGGACUGUGACCAAUUUCAUGUCAGUGCGGGUCUGUUGAGACCCAGCCCAGAGAGGGUUAAACACACAGAAUUAUGGGACAGUUCUAUCUCAACCACCUUAACGAAAGCCAAGAAGGCAGGCGGGCCGGGAGGCUCCCAGAGAAAGAAGCAGAUACAUCACGUAGAAAGGAGGAAAGCCGGGCCUCACCUUCGGAUUUAUGUGGACCUACUACACGCACACCUGCCUCUGAGCUAAAAGUCUCCAGCAAACCUGACCUCAGAGGAAUCCCACACGCGCUCUGUCCCCCUGACAGGCCCUGCCGCUGAGUCGCCGGAUGUCCGCUGAGGUCCAAG
ensembl:lncRNA